GCCUUCGUGGUGUAAUGGUCAGCACACUGAGCCGGUAUUUCAGAGGUCCGUGGUUCGAUCCCCCGGCGAAGGCA
rfam:Stegodyphus mimosarum contig41819, whole genome shotgun sequence.